CUACGGGCGGCUGCAGUGGGGAAUAUUGGACAAUGGGGGAAACCCUGAUCCAGCAAUGCCGCGUGUGUGAAGAAGGCCUGCGGGUUGUAAAGCACUUUCGGUUGGGAGGACUGCUUCUAGCACUAAUAUUGUUGGAAGUUGACGUUACCUUCAGAAGAAGCACCGGUUAACUCCGUGCCAGCAGCCGCGGUAAUACGGAGGGUGCAAGCGUUAAUCGGAAGUACUGGGCGUAAAGCGCGCGUAGGCGGCUAAAUCAGUCGGGUGUGAAAGCCCCGGGCUUAACCUGGGAGCUGCAUCCGAUACUGUCUAGCUGGAGUACAGGAGAGGAGAGUGGAAUUCCACAUGUAGCGGUGAAAUGCGUAGAUAUGUGGAGGAACACCAAUGGCGAAGGCAGCUCUCUGGCCUGAUACUGACGCUGAGGUGCGAAAGCGUGGGGAGCAAACAUGAUUAGAUACCCGAGUAGUC
rnacentral:rRNA from 1 species